rnacentral:rRNA from 1 species
GAUGAACGCGGCGGCGUGCUAACACAUGCAAGUCGAACGGAUGCUUUCGGGCAUUAGUGGCGCACGGGUGAGUAACACGUGGCUGACCUACCUCAAAGUAGGGGAUAACGUUCCGAAAGGAAUGCUAAUACCCUAUAAGCUCCCGAUGGUUAGAGGAUUGGGAGAAAAGUUCCGGCGCUUUGAGAGGGGGCUGCGGGCCAUCAGCUAGUUGGUGAGGUAACGGCUCACCAAGGCGACGACGGCUAGGGGGCCUGAGAGGGUGACCCCCCACACUGGAACUGAGAGACGGUCCAGACUCCUACGGGAGGCAGCAGUGAGGAAUAUUGCACAAUGGGCGCAAGCCUGAUGCAGCGACGCCGCGUGGGUGAUGAAGGCUUUCGGGUCGUAAAGCCCUUUUCUAGGUGACGAGAAUGGACGGUAGCCUAGGAAUAAGUGUCGGCUAACUACGUGCCAGCAGCCGCGGUAAAACGUAGGACACAAGCGUUAUCCGGAGUUACUGGGCGUAAAGGGCGUGUAGGCGGAUCGGUAAGUCUACUCUGAAAGCUCCUGGCUAAACUGGGAGAGGCGAGUGGAGACUGUCGGUCUAGAGUGAGGAAGAGGAAAGUGGAAUUCCGCGUGUAGUGGUGAAAUGCGUAGAGAUGCGGAGGAACACCAGUGGCGAAAGCGGCUUUCUGGUCCUUAACUGACGCUGAGGCGCGAAAGCAUGGGGAGCGAACGGGAUU